rnacentral:lncRNA from 1 species
AAUGUGCAAAAACUGGAUAGAUAAGGAUUUUGUGUACCUGGACACAAAAGAGACAAAAGGGAACAUUCUAUAACCACUGGCCUCUGUCCAGGAACACAGGAGAAAAUGAAGCAAGGCAAACAACAGAGAAAAGUGAACAACAAAAGAACAAACUCAAACGAAACUGCUUAACAAUCCUACAGUGCAGACCUGGCAGGAAGAAAAAGUGGAUGAGGAAGACCCUUUGGACAUCGUCAAAAGAGGCAUUGUUAGCAAAUGACGGGGGGCCAGUCCUGAAAGCCUGUGAGGCUGUGAGCAACUCUCCCACCUGCUCUUCUCUGUCUGUCCUACUCCUCAUGACAAUGACUCUUAUCCUGGAGGGCCUGCAGUAGCGUUUGACACACGUACCUCAUUUAAUUCUCACAAGAGUUCUAUGAAACAGGCUAGGAUUUGGCAAACCAUUGUCAGCUACCUGUUUUUGUAAAUAUAGUUUUAUUGGAACAUAACCACCACAAUUUAUUUACAUAUUGUCUAUAGCUGCUUUUACUCUACAAUGGCAGAGUUGAGUAGUUGUGACAAAAGCUCUAGGCCCUGAAAAGUGCAAAAUAUUUAUUUUACUAUGUGGCCCUUUACAGCAAAGGUGUGUUGACCCCUCAGAUAAAUGGGACAUUGCUCCCACUUUACAUAUGAGGCACAGAAAAGCUAAGCGCAUUGACUGAGAUCAUUUGGGUUAUAAAUUAUAGUGUCAGAGAUGUCUCGGACCCAGAGACAACUGUUCCCUAUGCUUUUCUCCUCCCUACCUUAUAGCAUCUCCUACUCUUUCACAUUCAUUUGUUCCUACUAAAUGUGUCAGCCAAAAAGAACACAUUCAUUUGCACUGAACAAGACGUCUCAGGUUGACCAUCACACAGAAGUCAACAGGAGGUUCUGGAGACUUGCAGAAAGUGAUCAUCCAGCAUAUCCUCUCCUCUCCUCUCCUAGCCCCUAAGGACUGAUUCGUAGUCUGCCCAGAGUUUAUAAGAGAGACAGUCAUCCAACAUGAAUAGAGAUGGCCUGAGCAGGCAUGGGCUCUUUGAAAUUCGGAGAGAUCAGCUCAAAGAUACACUGGGAAGAACCAGGUUGCCCCAAGCAAAAGGCAACAACUGCCCUUGGUUGAGCAAGAUUCCUUGGGAAGCUUAUUGGAGGCCCCACCUCUAAGGACAGGCCCACAUUUGCCUUGUCUGCCAUUCUUCCCUUACUGAUGUAUUCUGACCCUGUCUUGGCUUGAUUUAUCUUUGAUGUCUUUGAUGUUGCUCAUGACCAUGCUGCCUUCUUCCUGGGAGUUCCCAUCUGGUCCUGGUUUCUGCUUCUCUUGCCUUAGCUCAUACUCAAACCCUGUGGGUAACAGCCCACGUGCAACAGUGGUCUGCAGCUCCUGAGGGCUGUUGAAAAGAUUGCUUCAUUCAAUGCCAUAAAAAUAUCCAAGAAUACAGCAAUUGUUAUAGAAAUUAUGGUAAAUCUGCACAAUGAAAUAUUAUGCAGCCACUAAAACGGACAUCAAUUCAGAUUUCUAAAUGACACAAUGUAGCAGAGACAGGGCCAGGUUCAUGGGUGUGGGUCCUACACAGUCAUACAGGGCUCCACACUUACAAGGGCCCUACACUUGGUUUAAUGCUCCAUGGCUGCCACCUUGAAAUUCUGAAUAGUUUUAUAACAAGAGUCCUCCACAUUUACAUUUCACAUUGAGCCUAUAAAUUGUUAGCUAGUCCUGAGCAGAGAUGACUCUGAGUGCCCAUUUUCUCCUGUCUUUUAGUAAUAGAACCUCCUCCCUUUGCUUCAUACAUACACCCUGACUAGUGUUUCCACGCUGGAAUUCCUUCCCAGUAUUUCUUGAGAAUUUUUUAUGUUUCUCCAAAUCUCGAAAGAAAAAUCAGUCAAGAAAUUGGGAAAAAGUAUUGUAAUUAUCCUGCAGGAAUCAAGGCUUAAUGAUCAACAUAAAGACAUCACUGGUUUGAAUCCAUCAAUGUCAAAUGAAAAGCAAGAGCAGGAAAGGCUGGCAGGUGGAAGAGCAUAUAGCACAUAGGAGAGCACAUAGGUCAAGAGCUGAUCAGUCAAUCUUGCUUGUAGCCAUUGUCCUGUUCUAAGUGUGUGUUCUUGGCCCUGACUGAUGCUAAUGGCAAGUCAUUCUUGGAAAUAAAAUAAGCAGUAUUAGGUUUAUAUGUAUGUAUACUUUAUUCAAAUCCUGCUAGUGAUGUUCUAGGAAAUAACAAAUUUGGGAAGCAAAAUACGCCCUUAAUUGGCAAUUUCAAUGUGUGAUUCUGUGUAGUGCUUUAACCUUGCUAGGAGAUCUGAAUGUCACAUUCUUUGAAUAUUACCCAAAAAUGUUCACUGGUAUUUUCUAAUGUUUGAUUUUUUUUUUAUCUCAGGCUAUAGUUGUUUAUAAAUUUGCUAAAUGUAAUAUUUCUUAUUUAUUAAACCAAUUUCUUUUAGAUAUCCACAGUAAUGACUAAAGAGUAUAAAAAUUGCUGGAAGUCUUUUAUUUUCUUCUUGUUACUUAGUUUUCAUUUUGUAAUUAUAAACUUAACUCUGCGAUCCAGCUAGACAUGGAAGAGGAUAAGGAAAAUAUGGAACCCAAAGGACUGUGCAAAGAUUAUAGGAUGCUGUGAGCAAAUGGGGUGGAAGCAUGCUUUCCUGAGCUAUAGAAGGAACGAUCUGGUGGUUCAGAUAAAACAAUCAAAUUUAUUAGAGUUGUCCACAGUCAGCAGCUGUGAUCUUCUUGCUGGUCUUACCAUUCCUGGACCCAGAGCGUUCCAGGGCUUCCACAAUACUCAUG